GCUUACUCCACUUCAGAGCAUACUAAAAUUGGAACCACGCAGAAAAAAUUAGCAUGGCCCCUGUACAAGGAUGACACACAAAUCUGUGAAAUUGUAUGCUUGAUG